UACGGAGGGGGCUAGCGUUGUUCGGAAUUACUGGGCGUAAAGCGCACGUAGGCGGCUUUCUAAGUCAGGGGUGAAAUCCUGGAGCUCAACUCCAGAACUGCCUUUGAUACUGGAGAGCUCGAGUCCGGAAGAGGUGAGUGGAACUGCGAGUGUAGAGGUGAAAUUCGUAGAUAUUCGCAAGAACACCAGUGGCGAAGGCGGCUCACUGGUCCGGUACUGACGCUGAGGUGCGAAAGCGUGGGGAGCAAACAGG
rnacentral:rRNA from 1 species